GAUGGAGCCGGCGAGCGAGAGGGCGCCACGAGGUGCGGGGUCGUCCUAAUGGGGAUGACGGGAGCGACCAACCGCCAGGACCUUUCUCUCGCUAACCUUCCGCGUCCUGUCCGGCCUGGUUUGGAAGGGGCGUUCCGCCGCGUUAUGGCUGGACAGGAGCAAGGGGCAGAGGCCCUGGAUUCAGAAAAGCUCUGGUUUGAAGAAGAUCUUUCCACACUAACUCCCUGGGGAGGUAUGCUGCCCUGAGACUGCAGGAGGGACCAAGAGGUGCCUGGCAUGCACAUCCUAACAGCUACAAUUAGGGGGAUUGCCAAGGAGCCAGGCCCCAGGCGUGCCUGCAAGGCCACCUCCUCUAUCAGGACCUGCCGCAAUGCAAAAGGCUUUUUUAUGUGCCCAGUGAGUCAUUCAAGCCUGUCUCCUUUGAGAGGAGGCCUACGUUUCCAGAUGGGCAUUUGGGAGUACCUCUCACCCCUGGCUGAGCACAUCAAGAUGUCAGCUUCACCGCCACCCUGGGGGGUAGAAGACCGGGCAUCCAUGGCUGGAAGUGGCCAUCCUUAUUUCUGGGUAGAUUCUGUGCCCACUGGCUGGAGACCCUCAUACAGCUGUCUCUGGCCCUUGCUGGGGGAUGCUUGUGAACUCAGGGCUUUGCUCAUAUGUUCCCUCCUAUGGAAAGCCUUUCCUGGGCUCCACAGCAUCCAAUAUCCCUCCAGCAGAGCCUGUUAGAUUGAAAUUUCUCAUUGUGGCUGAAGUCCUCAUUACACUGGGAGCCCUGAGGGCAGGGACAAUGUCCCUUUUUAUAUCUCUCUUGGCAGUGCCUGGCACAGAGGAGGGGGCCAAUACAACUUUAAAAAAUACAAAUAAGUACAUAUAGUGUGAAGUAUUAUUAGCAUAA